rnacentral:rRNA from 1 species
AUGCUUACUCUCAAACUUUUUGUUUAUACAGUAGUGAUAUUCUUUGUUUCACUCUUUAUCUUUGGAUUCUUAUCUAAUGACCCAGGACGGAAUCCUGGACGCGAGGAGUAA